UUGACACAGGUGCUGCAUGGCUGUCGUCAGCUCGUGUCGUGAGAUGUUCGGUUAAGUCCGCUAACGAGCGCAACCCUCGCUGUGUGUUAUAUGUGUCACACGGGACUGCCGGUCUUAAGCCGGAGGAAGGUGGGAUGAUGGUCAAGUCAGCAUGGCCUUUAUAUCCCUGGGCUACACACACGCUACAAUGGCCAACACAAUAGGUUGCUAAGCCGCGAGGUGGCGCCAAUCCAAUAAAGUUGGUACUCAGUUCAGAUUGUAGGCUGCAACCCGCCUGCAUGAAGAUGGAGUUGCUAGUAACCGCAGGUCAGCUAUACUGCGGUGAAUACGUUCCCGGGGCCGUU
rnacentral:rRNA from 1 species